GCACCGCAGAACAGACGCAGCAGCGGCGGCAGCAGGCAGCGCGAAAGCAAGCGCGCGCGCGACGGCAUCUCAACUCGCAUCGUCUCCUCGCGCCUCUGUCCAUCACAACGGUGAGGACGAUGCAUCUCUAACAGGAUGACCCCGCGGGCACGCGCGUCCCCCUUAACGAGUCUGGCACGCGCGCGCGCGGGCAUGAGCGUUGAUGUACUGGACGUCUAAAGCCGCGCCGGGACCCCUAACCGGCACGUUCUUGCGCUGUUACCUGCGCCUCAACAUGGCGUCCGGGGGCGGGAGCGGGUGGCAGACCCCCUGUAGCCCCCCCAUCGUCGACAACACGAGCAGACACACGCGUACGUCCUCGUGCGCCGCGGCGAUGUCGCGCGAAGAAGGCGGCGGCGGCUGGUCCCUGGAGUACACGCAGGACCUGCACCUCAAGAUGAGCAAGAAGAUAGCCCAGCUCACCAAGGUGAUUUACGCGCUUAACACCAAGAACGACGAACACGAGGAAGAGAUGGAGGCACUGAAAGACUCCCAUGAAGACGAGGUCCAACACAUCGUCACGGAGACACGGGACAAGAUCAUGCAGUUCAAGAACAAGAUGGCGGACGAGGCGGACCUGCGGCGGCGGCUGGCAAGCCUGGAGGAGUCGGUGGAGAUGCACGAGCACAUGAAGAGACAGGUCUGUCUGUCUGUCUGUCUGUCUGUCUGUCUGUCUGUCUGUCUGUCUGUCUGUCUGUCUGUCUGUCUGUCUGUCUGUCUGUCUGUCUGUCUGUCCGUCUGUCAGUCUCCAUCUCUCUCUGUCUGUCUGUCUGUCUGUCUGUCUGUCUGUCUCUCUGUCUGUCUGUCUGAAGCGACAGGUUGGAUUUCUGUCUCCCUCUCUGUUUGUCUGUCUGUCUGUGUGUCUGUGUAUCUGUCUCCCUCUCUGUCUGUCUGUCUGUCUGUCUGUCUGUCUGUCUGUCUGUCUGUCUGUCUGACUGUCUGUCUGUCUGCUUCUCUGUCUGUCUCUCUGUCUGUCUCUCUGUCUGCCUCUCUGUCUGUCUGACUCCCUCUCUGUCUGUCUGUCUGUCUGUCUGUCUGUCUGUCUGUCUGUCUGUCUGUCUGUCUGUCUGUCUGUGUGUCUGUGUAUCUGUCUCCCUCUCUGUCUGUCGGUCUGUCUGUCUGUCUGUCUGUCUGUCUGUCUCUCUGUCUGUCUCUCUGUCUCCCUCUCUGUCUGUCUUUCUGUCUCCCUCUCUGUCUGCCUGUCUGUCUCCCUCUCUGUCUGUCUGUCUGUCUCCCUCUCUGUCUGUCUGUCUGUCUCCCUCACUGUCUGCCUGUCUGUCUCCCUCUCUGUCUGUCUGUCUGUCUCCCUCUCUGUCUGUCUCCCUCUCUCUCUGUCUGUCUGUCUCUCUGUCUGUCUCUCUGUCUGCCUCUCAGUCUGUCUGACUCCCUCUCUGUCUGUCUGUCUGUCUGUCUGACUCACUCUCGGUCUGUCUCCCUCUCUGUCUGCCUGUCUGUCUCCCUCUCUGUCUGUCUGUCUGUCUCCCUCUCUGUCUGUCUGUCUGUCUCCCUCACUGUCUGCCUGUCUGUCUCCCUCUCUGUCUGUCUGUCUGUCUCCCUCUCUGUCUGUCUCCCUCUCUCUCUGUCUGUCUGUCUCUCUGUCUGUCUCUCUGUCUGCCUCUCAGUCUGUCUGACUCCCUCUCUGUCUGUCUGUCUGUCUGUCUGACUCACUCUCGGUCUGUCUCCCUCUCUGUCUGUCCGUCUGUCUCCCUCUCUGUCUGUCUUUCUGUCUCCCUCUCUGUCUGUCUUUCUGUCUCCCUCUCUGUCUGCCUGUCUGUCUUCCUCUCUGUCUGUCUGUCUGUCUGCCUGUCUGUCUCCCUCUCUGUCUGUCUGUCUCCCUCUCUGUCUGUCUGUCUGUCUGUCUGUCUGUCUGUCUGUCUGUCUGUCUGUCUGUCUGUCUGUCUGUCUGUCUGUCUCCCUCUCUGUCUGUCUGACUCCCUCUCUGUCUGUCUGUCUGUCUGUCUGUCUGUCUGUCUGUCUGUCUGUCUGUCUGUCUCCCUCUCUGUCUGUCUGUCUGUCUGUCUGUCUGUCUGUCUGUCUGUCUGUCUGUCUGUCUGUCUGUCUCCCUCACUGUCUGCCUGUCUGUCUCCCUCUCUGUCUGUCUCCCUCUCUCUCUGUCUGCCUGUCUGACAUGAAGCAUCGGAGUCGACACGUUUACAUCGUGUGUUGACACUGGCACAAAACAUCCAAAAAAUAGUACGGUUUACAGUUUUUCUCAGUCACUUUGUUAUAUUUCUCGAAUCGUCCUCCACAUUUGCAAAACAGUAAUUGCAUUUCUGAAAAACAAUUUGUACAAAUAGCAAAACACCAUGGAUACCUGCAAAAGCCAGUCUCUUGCUCAAAAUCCGUAGUUCAUCUCUCAAAAGAAAAUAUCUGUGUCAAUGAACAUGUCAGCGCCAUCAGAAUGAGAAGUCCUUGUGUAAUUGUGUACGGAUAUGACAGUCAAAUUGCUUAAUCAUGUUGUAAAUAUAACAGUGUACUCUGGAGGGAUGUUCUGAUGUAAACUAUGGCUGAAGUUUUGAAGACAAUUAUUCUAAAUUGCAAGUUACACCUUAGUGUAUGUGGGAGAUCGAUUGCAGGAGACUUGACAAGAUUCACAUUUAAGCUUUGA